UCGUAGCUCAGCAGGAUAGAGCAACGGCCUUCUAAGCCGUAGGUCGCAGGUUCGAAUCCUGCCGG
rnacentral:tRNA from 1 species